UUUGAUCCUGGCUCAGAACGAACGUUAGCGGUGUGGAUUAGGCAUGCAAGUCGUGCGCGAAAGCUCCCUUCGGGGAGCGAGUAGAGCGGCGCAAGGGUGAGUAACACGUAAUCAACGUACCCCUGAGAUCGGAAUAACCAGUGGAAACGCUGGCUAAUGCCGAAUGGUCUCCGGAGGCGGCAUCGCCACCGGGGUAAACGGCCGUUUAGGCUGCUUGGGGAGCGGGUUGCGGCCUAUUAGCUUGUUGGUGGGGUAACGGCCUACCAAGGCGAUGAUGGGUAGCGGGUCUGAGAGGAUGAUCCGUCACACUGGGACUGAGACACUGCCCAGACUCCUACGGGAGGCUGCAGUCGAGAAUCUUCCGCAAUGGGCGAAAGCCUGACGGAGCGACACCGCGUGCAGGAUGAAGGCUCUCGGGUUGUAAACUGCUGUCACGCUAUAGGAAUGGUCGCAUGGAAACAUGUGGAUUGACCAAAGCGAAAGGAAGCACCGGCUAACUCCGUGCCAG
rnacentral:rRNA from 1 species